UUCUAAAAUAACAAAAUGUGGAAAAAGUCAAGGGGUCUGAAUACUUUCCGAAUGCACUGUAAAGAUACCUUCUUGGUAGAUCUGGUGUCAGUCACUGAUGGGUUAUUUCCCCCUUGUCUUUCAGCCCUGCCCCAGUGGAGCUGAAACCGCCCCAUCUCCACCAGCCUCCCAACAGUGAGGACAUUGCCCUCAACAUGACCUUUGACAUCAUCACCUCUGACCCGGUGUAUAAAAGGUUGUCACAGGUCCCAUCCAAGAAGAUGCAUCUGGACCCAGCCGUGUUGUCGUCCUCACUGACCAAACACCAAGACAAAGCCUCGUUUGGAAGCCAGAGAGGAGGUGGUGCCCAUGGAUACCUCCUUCCGUAACACCAACCUGUUCAGGAAGAGAACAUUCGGCAGCAUGCUGGACCCCAAGAGGAUUAAACUGGGAGCUGUAGGUUUAACCUGACUCCCUGUCUUGUUCUUGUCAACGAGAUGACAAUGUCGUGGUUACGGUGGACUUGGGGAAGAACCAAAUUCUUCCAGCCUUCUCUUUUGUCAGAGAUUCACCCGCUCAUAAAGGCCAAGAGAAAAAAAAAUGGUUCCAGACCAGCUCCUCCCAAGAUCUCCACCUGCCUUACGCUUAACAGUUUUCUGGAGUGACCUGUGACCUUUCCAUCCCUGACUGAUGCAUGUGUGUAAGUUGCACCUCUGACACUAGUGACCAGCCCGUCUGGGGAAAUAUAGAGGAGCAACCUGAAUAGGUUUACCAGUCAGGUAAAAAAUAACUUGGACCUCUUACUUGAGGCCCUGCUCCAAGCUUUGGGCAUGAAUGGGCAUAGCUGCUAGUUUGAUGAGAAUUUGUUUUGGUGUAUCGAGACUUCAUUUGGCUCAUGAAACCCCCUGUCUGUGUUUAGUAAUUUUGUGUUGAGACAUUUCAUUUUUUUCUGGUUUAUAAUUUUGAGUGUAAGGAAGGGUGCUCUGCUGACUGAAACAUAUCAUUACUAGCAUCUGUGAAAUGUCAGCCAUUUGACUCGGUUGCACAUUACACAAAUCCAAAUAUUAUCCAUCUUUCACACUUGAACAUUUCUUGUUUUACUUACUGUCUGAAUAUUGUAAUACAGCAUUGUAUUGAAUAUUUAGAAGUUGUUUCCCACUUGGGGCGGCAGUGAAGCCUAGUGGUUAGAGCAUUGGGCCAGUAACCUAAAGGUUGCUAGAGCGAAUCCCAGAGCUGACAAGGAAAACAUCUGUCGUUCUGCCCCUGAACAAGGCAGUUAACCCACUGUUCCUAUGUCGUUAUUUUAAAUAGGAAUUUGUUCUUAACUGACCUGCCUUGUUAAAUACAUUUUAAAAAUCCCCAGAAUAGCAUCCUCUUGUUUCAAAUGCAAUUUCUUUUAGAUGCAUAUGUUUACUUGUGAUUACUGCAUAAGAUCUCUUGUCAAAAAAUAAACUAUUGUUCUUUAAUAAACUGUUGCGUGUGGUGUGUUAACCUGU